UGCAUUUCGUGUGGCACACCUGCAUUUCGUGUGGCACAGGGUGCUGUGCUGGAACAGCUGGGGUGAUGCUUUCCCUCGGAACUGCUGGCCUGGAGCAGUAACAAUUCCAGGUGAGAGGUGGAACAGCAUCAGUGCCCAGCCCUGGAGGUGCCCAGGGAAGGGCUGGAGGUGGCACUCACAGCUCUGGGCUGGGGACAAGGGGAGGGCCUGGCACAGCUUGGGGGGGUCUUUUCCAAUCUCUGGGAUUCUGGGAGGGGUUCUCUGUGCACCACACUGCUCCUGGUCAGAACAGCAAUUAAUCAUGGGGUAAUUGAGUCAUCAAGGAAACACGUGUGGACAAAUGGAAAAAACUCUGGCUGAGGGAGUGUAAUUUUUUUUCCCCUUGUCUUUUUGAGUAAAGGUUGUGGAAAUCAAGGGAAGGCUUAGAUGGCAGGCACUUAACCACUAAAGAUUUCUGCAAGAGUCAUUUCCACAAAUGUCUUACAGCUCUUCUAUAGAUCUGGAGCCUGUGCUUUUAAUGGACUGACAAAUGUACACUAAGCCCAGCUGACUGUUGCUCCAUUGCUUGGCUAUCCAGAUAAGAGGAAUGCUUUCCUUUGAUUGAGAUCUCAAAUCAAUUGUUCCUUUAGCCAGUGGCUGGUGGUUAUUAUCCAAGGAGAAGAUAAAGUUCCGAUGCUUUGUGUUUCAGUGAUCACCAAGGAAACUGAAAUCUGCUGGUGGCUGCCCAAGGCCGAGCCAGAGGCUCCACCUGGGACACUGCUCCUCGCCUGGGGCAGGGACAGGCGGCUCAGGUGGUCCCAGCUGGUUCCUCCCUUGGUCUGGAGCCCCCUCUGUGAUCCCUGAGUCAAAAGGUGACUUCCAGCCCUCCAGCCUGGGACUGAAGGAGGCAGGGCAGGAAUUCCAAGGUCCUUUCCUGGCAAGUGACCUGUCCAGGUGCCGAGGUGUCCAGCAAAGGGGACCCAGCUGGGUCUGGCUGCUGCCAGGGGGGCUCAGGGAAGGAAAGCAAA
rnacentral:lncRNA from 1 species